GAGUUUGAUCCUGGCUCAGAUUGAACGCUGGCGGCAUGCCUUACACAUGCAAGUCGAACGGCAGCACGGGAGCUUGCUCCUGGUGGCGAGUGGCGAACGGGUGAGUAAUGCAUCGGAACGUAUCCUGGAGUGGGGGAUAACGUAGCGAAAGUUACGCUAAUACCGCAUAUUCUGUGAGCAGGAAAGCGGGGGACCUUCGGGCCUCGCGCUCUUGGAGCGGCCGAUGUCGGAUUAGCUAGUUGGUGAGGUAAAGGCUCACCAAGGCGACGAUCCGUAGCAGGUCUGAGAGGAUGAUCUGCCACACUGGAACUGAGACACGGUCCAGACUCCUACGGGAGGCAGCAGUGGGGAAUUUUGGACAAUGGGGCAACCCUGAUCCAGCCAUGCCGCGUGAGUGAAGAAGGCCUCGGUUGUAAG
rnacentral:rRNA from 1 species